rnacentral:tRNA from 1 species
UAGGUCGUAGCCAAGUGGUAAGGCAACUCGUUUUGAUCGAGUCAUUCCGUGGGUUCGAAUCCCGCCGACUUAG